rnacentral:lncRNA from 1 species
AGUACUCCUAGUAAUCUUCCUCUUCCUCUUUCCUCCAGAGGAUUUUCCUGAUUCAGUCAUUUCAGUUUCAGUCUCUAUUUCAGUUGUAGUCGCAUUAGUAGCCUCAUCUUCAGCACCCGUCCGUUCGUCGUCCUCGUCUAGAGGAACAGGUUCCUCUUCUUCAUGCUUCAUCGUAUCCAUUUCGACAUCUUUCUCCGACUCCAUUCUAGCUUCAACAGCUGAAGUAUCUACCCGUGUCGCCAUUUCAUCACCUUCCUUGUUUUGAGUCUCAACCAUUUUCUCCCCAUUAGCAGCCUCGCCCUUAGCACCUGUCCGCUUGUCGUCCUCAUCUAGAGGAACAGAUUCCACUUGCUCGUGCUUCAUUGUAUCCAUUUCGACGUCUUUCUUCUCUAUACUAGCUUCAACAGCUGAAAUAUCUACCUGUGUCGCCAUUUCAGCAUCUUCCUCGUUUUGAGUCACAACCACUUUCUCCCCAUUAGCAGCCUCAUCCUCAGCACCCGUUCCUUUGUCCUCCUCAUCUGGAGGAACAGAUUUCACUUCGUCAUGCUUCAUUGUAUCCAUUUCGACAUCUUUCUUCGAUUCUACUCUAGCUUCAACGGCUGAAAUAUCUACAUGUGACACCAUCUCGUCAUCUUCCUCUGCAUUAGCAGUUUUAUCUUCAGUACCCAUUGCCUUAUCUUCCUUUUCUAGAGUGACCCCUCCUGAACCGUCUAACACAACAGGAGUAAUUCCCACUUCCUCGGCCUUAGCUGUCUCCAUUUCCCCAUUUUCCCCUAAAUCUACACUACCUUCAGCAGUUGAAACAUUUACCUCUGCCCCAGUUUCAGCAUUCUCUGCGCCAACCUUAUUAUCAUUUCUAGCCACAAUUUCAUCAUUCUCAGAUUCAUUUGUAUUCAGAACCACUUUCUCAUCACCAGCACCAUCUCGCAUACAACUCUCUGUUUCGCUCUUCGUGGCAUUUACUACCUUUGUCACCUCAUCUUUCUCUAACGCUGAUACAUUUGCCUCUUUCUCACCAGCACUACCUGCCAUACAACUGUCUAUUUUUUCGCCCUUUGUGUCAUUCACUACCUCUGUCACCUCAUCAUUCUCCAAAGCCGUUACAUUCGCCUCGUCCUCAUCCCCAGCACCACCUGGCGUGCUCUUUACCUUCUAAGUUUAUAUCGAAUAGAAAAAUGACCAUUACCCCUGCUCUUUUGCUUUAACUUGUCUUGCCCAACCUCUUUUCACCCUAACCAACCAUAGCAUCAGACUGUUUUUCCUCAAAUGUUGGGUCCCACUAAAGACUCCGAGAAGCAAUUCCAAGCUAAUAUUGAGAAGAUCAGAAAAGAAAGGAAACCAGCUUGAGAACCACUCCACAAUGCAACUUCAGAUUAUUUGGAAUAAAAAGGAAUAGGAUGUUAUUUCAAUUAGCUAAAUCAUAUUGUUAUGUUAUUAAUGAAUGUAGUUUGAUUUAUCGACGAAAAUAUUGUCCCACAACAUUUAUUUGUAAUUUCCAAAUAGUGAGUACUGUUGGCUUAUUUUAGAGAGAAGCCUCAUAAAUCAAAGUGUGAAAGACAUAUCAAUGUGUAUUGCCAUCUUUAACAAAAUUAAUACAAGAGAACUUGGUGGUACAUUUCAGUUACCAACUUCAAAAAACAAAGGAACUUGGUGGUACAUUAAUCAUGUUACUUAAAGUCAGAUAAGUCAACAAAGAGGUAGAAUAAUGCACUCACCACAAUUCCAUCGACCCUUGGCACGAAAAAAAUCCUCAUCCCUAUCAAUACAUGAAGGAUGAUAUGCUUUGGUACAACCCCUAAAAUGAAAAAAAACACAAAAAAGGUACCACCACGUGAGCAAAUUCCACAACACACACACAGCAAAAAUUAACAUUUAUAUGGUUCCGAAAUGAGAAAAAAAAACUUUACCUACGGUCACAUAGCACCAAAUUCCCUCCAUCAAAGCAAAUGAAGCAAACAUCCUCUCCUAUAGUCUUCCUCCUACUUGAAGAUCUUCCUCCAGAUUUGGACUUCCCAGUACUCCUAGUAAUCUUCCUCUUCCUCUUUCCUCCAGAGGAUUUUCCUGAUUCAGUCAUUUCAGUUUCAGUCUCUAUUUCAGUUGUAGUCGCAUUAGUAGCCUCAUCUUCAGCACCCGUCCGUUCGUCGUCCUCGUCUAGAGGAACAGGUUCCUCUUCUUCAUGCUUCAUCGUAUCCAUUUCGACAUCUUUCUCCGACUCCAUUCUAGCUUCAACAGCUGAAGUAUCUACCCGUGUCGCCAUUUCAUCACCUUCCUUGUUUUGAGUCUCAACCAUUUUCUCCCCAUUAGCAGCCUCG